GGAUUUUCAAAUAUAUCCAGUAAAAUUGGAAUGAUACAGAAAAGAUUAGCAUGACCUUGUGCAAGGAUAACAUGCACAAACUGAAGAAUGGUCUAAAUUUUU